CGAGGAACAAUUGGAGGGCAAGUCUGGUGCCAGCAGCCGCGGUAAUUCCAGCUCCAAUAGCGUAUAUUAAAGUUGUUGCAGUUAAAAAGCUCGUAGUUUGACCUAGGGUCCGGUCAGCUGGUCCGCCUCACCGCGAGUACUAGUUUGACUGGGCCUUUUCUUCUGGGGAACUGCAUGGCCUUCACUGGCUGUGUUAGGGAACCAGGACUUUUACUUUGAAAAAAUUAGAGUGUUCAAAGCAGGCCUUUGCUCGAAUACAUUAGCAUGGAAUAAUAGAAUAAGACGGCUUUCUUAUUUUGUUGGUUUCUAAGAGAGCCGUAAUGAUUAAUAGGGAUAGUCGGGGGCGUCCGUAUUCGAUUGUCAGAGGUGAAAUUCUUGGAUUUUUCGAAGACGAACUACUGCGAAAGCAUUCGCCAAGGAUGUUUUCAUUAAUCAGUGAACGAAAGUGAGGGGAUCGAAGACGAUCAGAUACCGUCGUAGUCUUCACCGUAAACUAUGCCGACUAUGGAUCGGUCGGUGUUUUUUUGUUGACCCGAUCGGCACAUUACGAGAAAUCAAAGUUUUUGGGUUCUGGGGGGAGUAUAGUUGCAAGGCUGAAACUUAAAGAAAUUGACGGAAGGGCACCACCAGGCGUGGAGCCUGCGGCUUAAUUUGACCCAACACGGGGAAACUCACCAGGUCCGGACACAAGUUGGAUUGACAGAUUGAGAGCUCUUUCUUGAUUUUGUGGUUGGUGGUGCAUGGCCGUUCUUAGUUGGUGGAGUGAUUUGUCUGCUUAAUUGCGAUAACGAACGAGACCCUAUCCUGCUAAAUAGCCCGGCUGGCUUCUGCAAGUCGUUGGCUUCUUAGAGGGACUUUUGGCUCAAGCCAAAGGAAGGAGGGCAAUAACAGGUCUGUGAUGCCCUUAGAUGUCCUGGGCUGCACGCGCGCUACACUGACAGAGACAGCGAGUUCAUUCCUUGGCCGAAAGGCUUGGGUAAUCUUGUUAAACUCUGUCGUGCUGGGGAUAGGGCAUUGCAAUUAUUGCCCUUCAACGAGGAAUGCCUAGUAAGUUCGACUCAUCAGGUCGAGCUGAUUACGUCCCUGCCCUUUGUACACACCGCCCGUCGCUACUACCGAUUGAACGGCUCAGUGAGGCCAUCGGAUUGGCUCCAGUUGUUGGUAACGAUGACCAGAGCCGAAAAGUUGGUCAAACUUGGUCGUUUAGAGGAAGUAAAAGUCGUAACAAG
rnacentral:rRNA from 1 species